rnacentral:lncRNA from 1 species
UUAAGAACGCUAUGACAUGUACAUGUGAGCCUGCACAUGGCGCAACGUGGAAUUUGCAACCCACUGCCCGAGGGUACGUGAAGGUAGGCACAGGCCUGUGCCCACCUUCACUAGCAGCCUAGACUGCUAGUGUGGUCGAGACGUUUUCCUCUAGAGGGAGGGGAGUGCUGUAGCACACACCACCAAUACAUAUACAUGCUAGAGCACGAUCCCAGCAUAUCCAU